rnacentral:tRNA from 1 species
GCCGGAGUGGCGGAAUGGCAGACGCGCUGGAUUCAAAAUCCAGUUAGAGUAACAUCUAGUGCGGGUUCGACCCCCGCCUCCGGUA